rnacentral:rRNA from 1 species
UACGUAGGGUGCGAGCGUUAAUCGGAAUUACUGGGCGUAAAGCGUGCGCAGGCGGUUCGUUGUGUCGGCGGUGAAAGCCCCGGGCUUAACCUGGGAAUGGCCGUUGAAACUGGCGAACUGGAGUGUGGCAGAGGGGGGGUGGAAGUUCCGCGUGUAGCAGUGAAAUGCGUAGAGAUGCGGAGGAACACCGAUGGCGAAGGCAGCCCCCUGGGCUAACACUGACGCUCAGGCACGAAAGCGUGGGGAGCAAACAGG